rnacentral:rRNA from 1 species
GGGCAAGUCUGGUGCCAGCAGCCGCGGUAAUUCCAGCUCCAAUAGCGUAUAUUAAAGUUGUUGUGGUUAAAAAGCUCGUAGUUGAACCUUGGGCCUGGCUGGCCGGUCCGCCUCACCGCGUGUACUGGUCCGGCCGGGCCUUUCCCUCCGUGGAACCCCAUGCCCUUCACUGGGUGUGGCGGGGAAACAGGACUUUUACUUUGAAAAAAUUAGAGUGCUCCAGGCAGGCCUAUGCUCGAAUACAUUAGCAUGGAAUAAUAGAAUAGGACGUGUGGUUCUAUUUUGUUGGUUUCUAGGACCGCCGUAAUGAUUAAUAGGGACAGUCGGGGGCAUCAGUAUUCAAUUGUCAGAGGUGAAAUUCUUGGAUUUAUUGAAGACUAACUACUGCGAAAGCAUUUGCCAAGGAUGUUUUCAUUAAUCAGGAACGAAAGUUAGGGGAUCGAAGACGAUCAGAUACCGUCGUAGUCUUAACCAUAAACUAUGCCGACUAGGGAUCGGACGAUGUUAUUUUUUGACUCGUUUGGCACCUUACGGGAAAC